rnacentral:lncRNA from 1 species
ACUCCAAACACACACGUCUCUGCUGCCCCUAAAGCCUAAAGUCCUAACUUCUUCUCCAUUCUUUUGCUUCUUCUUCUAUUCCUUUUCUUUCGCCACUGCUGAAUCUCAUCUUCUUCUUCUUCUUCAGUUCUUCUCUUUUUCUUCUUUUUCUUUCCUUCCACUGCUACCAAAAUCUUCUUCUUUUCAACCUCUACUGCUAAAUAUUUCUUCUUCAUUCUUUUUUUUUUUUGUUUGAUCAUCC